rnacentral:lncRNA from 1 species
AUACAACUAUCCACACUCUUGUCAGAACAAGCACACCAGUACUGUGGCUUCUCAGGCACGGCUAAACCACCUGAGACCUUCAGGCCAAAGAUUCCAUUGACCUGGACUCUCCAGGGACAGCUUCAAGCAUUGGCCAUCCUCAAGUCUUCCUAGGUUGGCCCGUCAGGUUGCAGCCAGGAUUUUAUUAGCAUGUUUAAACCAAUAAAUCCUCAUCUUUCCUGGAGUGAGCUAAUUGUGUUCUAUAAUGAAGAGGUCUGAACUUCAUUUGUCAAAUAUACGUUUGCACGCAGCCCACCUCAUUGAAA